AUGGCUGUCGUCAGCUCGUGCCGUGAGGUGUUGCYUUAAGUGGCGCAACGAGCGCAACCCCUGUGGUUAGUUACCAGCACGUUAUGGUGGGGACUCUAGCCAGACUGCUACGCAAGUAGUGAGGAAGGUGGGGACGACGUCAAGUCAUCAUGGCCCUUAUGUCCAGGGCUGCACACGUGCUACAAUGGAUGGUACAAUGGGAAGCCACCCGGUGACGGGGCGCAGAUCCAUAAAGCCAUUCCCAGUUCGGAUUGGAGUCUGCAACUCGACUCCAUGAAGAUGGAAUCGC
rnacentral:rRNA from 1 species